ACCAGUAGUUCUGUACUUACUUUAUUUGAUUAUAAGCAUUCAGUAAUUCAUUUUCAGUACAUAAACAUUGACUUAUUUGAUUACUUUGUAUAGCCUUUGUGCACACUUCAAACUUGACAGCUUUAGCUCGGGAAAGAUGCCGCUCACAGCUGAAUAAGUAUGGAUUGGUACACCAAGGUAUUGCUAGGCGGACCUUGCCGAAGAAAUCAAGUCAAAUAGCAGAUUUUAGAAGAAAAAGGGUUACUCAUAGGCCUCAUUUGCAAGAUUAGGAACUGUGGAAAAAGUACGAGUUAGAUACACAGAUGGAAAUGAUGCGCCGACAAAUACACCAAUCUUGUUUACUACAAAUUGGGAUGCUAAUGAUUCCGAAAAUAUGAAUGUAGAAGUUGAUGCCAGCAAUAAUGGUGACAUGGAUGAA